rnacentral:rRNA from 1 species
UACGAAGGGGGCUAGCGUUGUUCGGAAUUACUGGGCGUAAAGGGCGCGUAGGUGGCGGAGCAAGUCAACGGUGAAAGCUCGACGCUCAACGUCGAGUCGGCCGUCGAGACUGCUUUGCUCGAGCACUGUAGAGGCAGAUGGAAUUCCUGGUGUAGCGGUGGAAUGCGCAGAUAUCAGGAGGAACACCAAUAGCGAAGGCAGCUCGCUGGGACGUUACUGACACUGGAGGCGCGAAAGCGUGGGGAGCGAACAGG